GGGCUCGUGGUCUAGCUGGUUAUGACGUCGCCUUUACACGGCGAAGAUCCUGCGUUCGAAUCGCAGCGGGCCCA
rnacentral:tRNA from 2 species